rnacentral:rRNA from 1 species
AGUGAACGCUGGCGGUAGGCCUAACACAUGCAAGUCGAACGGCAGCACAGUAAGAGCUUGCUCUUACGGGUGGCGAGUGGCGGACGGGUGAGGAAUACAUCGGAAUCUACUUUUUCGUGGGGGAUAACGUAGGGAAACUUACGCUAAUACCGCAUACGACCUACGGGUGAAAGCAGGGGAUCUUCGGACCUUGCGCGAUUGAAUGAGACGAUGUCGGAUUAGCUAGUUGGCGGGGUAAAGGCCCACCAAGGCGACGAUCCGUAUCUGGUCUGAGAGGAUGAUCAGCCACACUGGAACUGAGACACGGUCCAGACUCCUACGGGAGGCAGCAGUGGGGAAUAUUGGACAAUGGGCGCAAGCCUGAUCCAGCCAUACCGCGUGGGUGAAGAAGGCCUUCGGGUUGUAAAGCCCUUUUGUUGGGAAAGAAAAGCAGCAGGUUAAUACCCCGCUGUUCUGACGGUACCCAAAGAAUAAGCACCGGCUAACUUCGUG